CAACCCAUGUCCAAAUUAUUUCAAGCUUGCUUAACCACGUUGGCGCACAUUGGAGCUCAAAAAAAUAAAUAAUUACGACACACAAAGUCCCGAAGCACCCCACCGUUGUGGUUACUCACUACUCGUAGAUAUUCCCUCAGCGAAGUAUAGCAGUUCCGUGCAGGUUUCCUCACAAGAGCCACAGCAAGCACAGCUAUCAAUGCAGACAGUACUCCUUAGCAGUAACCGAUAUCCCAUGGAAACAUGAACUCGUAAAUCUUCCCCAAGCAAUUCUCUCGGUGUUGCACGAUGCUAGGCUAACCUCAAGGCUGUCAAAUACCUCCACGGUGAGACGGUAGCUUCAGUUUUUACUAAAUCUUUAACAAAAUGAUAAUAACUCUUAUAAAAUAAACUCUGUAUUUCCCUUCAAAACUCAUUAGGUAUGGGUUUUGUUCUUUUUUUAUCGUCUUCUUUUAUAAUUUUUCUUCACCAACGGUCAUAAUAUAAAUGUACAUCCUUUUCUCAAUGUCUCUAUCCCUCUCUUUUUUCCCCAGGCCUUCCGUUAACCAGGUCAACUCUCCCAUUGGCCACAGCGACCUUAUUGGUCAAAACUUAAACUUGAAAUCACAGUGGAGGACAUGGACCUUACCGGAACAGGUGACCAUAUUGCAGCUAAUGGCGAAGGCAUGAACUCUUAGGUUGCAUGUAUUGAAAAUAGAUUCAAAAUCCUCCUGCAAUACCCAUGCUCCUGCACCUAUCCCCCCAUGAUACAGGUACAGUAUGCUAGAACACCAAACAAAUACCGUGCCAACCUUAAAAUGUAAUACAGCCAAGCUAUUAUUUUCAUGAGUUCUCCCUGAUGCAGGACCUACAGGAGCUGAUAGGGAGUUUCACAGGGUCAGAUUGUCAUGUAACUCCAAAGGUGACUUGGGCAGAGGGGCAGGCCUUGUGUGCAUACAAGUGGCGGGGAAAGAGAGAGGCAAUGGUGGACAGCAUGCUUUCUGCUGAAGGUACUGUUUUGGGCCAGUGUCAGUAUUGCAAUAGUGAGGAUGCGGUUGUGCAAGAGAUGACUGCCCAGGCAUCUUCUCUCUGCCACGUGACAGCCACCCACAGCACCAAGGUUUUGUACAACAGAGAGUCUCUGUUUGAAGGGUUUGAUUGCCCCUUGUCCCCAACCACCGUAAUUCAUCAAGAUGAUGAGUGGUCCCUUACCUUCCAGGAGCAAGGUGUGCGUUUAUAGUUUUGCUGUUUCAAAUUAAAUCUGAUAGCACCUCCUGCAAUACCAACUUUUUUGUCAUGCUGCACAAUUUAAUGCAUCAGUCCAAAUAUAUAGAACAAUUUACUUGUGAUUUUUUGGUGUCACAUUUUGGUUUCUAGUUUGUCUUUUGCCACAGCUGUGUGGUUGUGCCCCCAGUGCCCUGACAGUGAUGAGUGGCAAACAGGUCAUCUUGAUUGGAAUAAAAUGGGAACUACAACCUGUCCCUUUCUGCUCUGAACUGCUCUGGGUGUCUGAGAUAUUGGACAGUGGGGGUGGACGAACUUGAAAAGAGUGGCUACUGGCCAGCCACCAUGACACACCGGACCAUCUUCACAGUGGACCUCUUCAAGUCCUUUGAAGACAUGAAGGUGCUGGCCCCAGGAUGCGCCCGUCAAGCCUUUGUGGGACUGCUUGACGGAAGAACAAAGCACUUUGGUAGAAGUGGAAAGAUGUGUCGACACAUUCCAGAAGGCAUUCCCUGAAUGGAUGUAUGGGCGGUUGGAAAUAGACAAGCUUUGUGUAAGCGAUCUCCUCUAUUGUCCUGCCUGCUGUCAUGACUGUCCUGUGAGGAUCCAAAUAGGUCAGAUCAGCUUUGCAAUAAAUAACUUCAGCCAGACCCCCUUUCACCCGCAGAGGAGUGAGAAGGGAGCUGGUGGCGGUUGACAGCUCACGCCCUGCUGUAAAUCAAGGACAGAACAUUCAGCUCUCUCGCGCUCCAAAUUCACCGGAGGAGUGUGCCUUUGUUUCACAGAUUUUCCCACCGAAACUCUAACACGUUUUAAAGCGAAUACUGGAACAUUAUUUAUAAUAUAGAAUGAGAGGAAUGGUCAGAGGCGACCUAAAAGAACACGGAUGUUGGUCUGGUUGUUAUUUUGUGAUGUCAUUAAAAACAAUUAUAAAGGAAAUACUGUAUACACACUACAUGUACGAAGAUCCCAUCCUCUACGUUGUGCAUGAAAUAUGAAAACAUUUUGUUAAGAGAGGGACAUGAUUUUAAGAGUCUGAAAUCUCAACACGAGGUAGAGGCGAUAAAGUCAGCUCCAGGACAAAUCACUGGUACGGCUGAUUAGCUGGCCUAAGUAAAGUACCUAGAAACAUUUAUUUAAGUGGGACCAUUCUAUUAGUCUGUUCAAACCAUCAUAAUCUACUACUUUCAUCAACCCCCUGGGAACUAUCUUCAAAGAAGCAUCUUCCAAAGCGAAUGGAAAUAGAAUAAACUCUGUUGUUCUGUUCAGGACUACACGACAAGUCACUGGAUACCGGACGACUGCAGAGGAGAACAACAUUAGAAGACGGGUGGGGACCCCUCUAGGACAAUCAGAGCCUUACAAGCGUGCCGCAAAAAGGCCCAACACCCUUUCCAAAAAGGCCAUGUAAAGAGAGAAACCAAGGAUUUUCACAUAAAUAAAUUAAUGAUCUCUUACUCCAAGCAGGCAGUGGUUCGUGUGCAAAGUGAAAGUAGUCUGUAAAUGUAACAAAAUUAAGUGUCUGUCCCUCCCUCGCUUUCCCUCCAUGUACUUUUGUAACAAGCAGCCAUAUUGUCAGUCUGCUAGGGACCGGUUUCUAAUGUAUUAAGUGUAUAUGUUUAUGUUAACAUUUAGUUAGCUAGUAAAUAAAUAAUUCAACCAAUUUGUGUAGUACUGAAUCAUAAGGCUCAGGUUUUCACAUAUGCCGGAGGUUACAACUGUUCAGAAUGAUGAUAUGAGGUUAUGAUUAAUAAGUUGUUUAUAGAUGAAAUAGGUAAAGACCUUGAGUUUAAUUUGGGAGAUGGUAACUCUUUAAAGAACUGCUCUCGUGGUGCCCCAAAUCCUAAUGGGUUAAUUGUUACAUAAUUUCAAAUCAGGUAACAACUAAACAUAGUUAGUUGAUUAGAUAAAUAAGUCAGAUUAAAUGUUAAAGUAAAGUCUCCGCACUGCUCACGGGAGAUGCAUGCUAUAUCAGUGGGUAGGAAUCGCAAGCAAUACUACUUCCGGAAAGCCUCAGGGUUUGUACUACCUUCUGUGUUGAUGUUUUGUUCAGGGUAUAAUUACACCUUCUUAAAGUGCAUGCUGGUCUUCUUUUUGUUAUGAAGUAUAUGUUUGUGAUGUUAUAUUGUGGGACAGUGAUUUGUCUUUUUGCUUUAUCUAUAUCCCUCCGAGACACACACACACACACACACACACACACACACACACACACACACACACACACAGAGGUUGGAGCAACACAAUCAGAUGUCUGGGACUUGAACCAGCAACCCACCUCUCUAGGCUACUUGCCACACCCUGGCGGUUUGGUUUUAUGUAUAAUUUUGUGAUGUAAUCUUGCAGUCUGACUCUCUAUUUAAUGUUGAGAAGGGCUUCUAUGAUGUUGUCUUUCUGGUGAAAGACGAUGUGUCAUCCUUCGUCAAACAUGUCCAUACAAAGACCAAUCCCAGUUUCUAAAGCAUAGCUUAAUGUCACCUAGUUUAGAACUUGUUUAUUUUAAGUUAAUCUCUGCACCACUGUGAUUUUCAUGUUGUAGACGCCAGGCAAAGGAGUGUGUGGCACGUCAGAGUGGACAGCAGCCAAAGAGACUUCGGGAAAAUCAUCUGCCAAAGUAGAUGAGGGCCUAGAGAUAGCAGUUUGCCACACGGCAUGCUCCUUAAGGCCCUCAAUAUGUACAGAGGCGAAAUAUAUGCCUAAGCAAUGUACUUGCAGAAGGAGCGGUCUUCUACUGGCAUGGUGGGCUUUUUCUGCUGCGAUGUUGCAUGCAAAUACUGGCUAUACUUGCAGAAAGUUGUGCAGGCAUGCCCAGAGUUAGAGGAUCUUCUAAAAAUGCACCCUCUCCGUUCUGCAUGUGACUGGGUGGAAUUGCCACCUUGCAUGUCUAAGAUAAACACUCUGUUGUUAUGCAGAAACACAAUAAGUUCCUCUCACUGGUGUUGUCAAGGCCUGCCUAAGUCUAGGACCCUCAUGGGCAUGGAAGUGUGUGUGUGGAAUAGGACUGUAGUCAGAUGCUGCCCCCCCCAGCGUCUUCUCUCUUUAACUGCUGACCUUAUCUCAAGUUGAUUUCCACAUCCCUCAUUGUCCUAGUUCCACAGAAACUGGCCUGCCUUAUCAGGAACUGAAACCAAACUGCUACCCUUUGCCUCCUUCCUUAGAAAUAUUAAUAUUCAGCAAUAAAAUGUUUGAACAGAAUAUGAACUUCCUGCACUUCCCCCUGUCUUACUCAGCAACUUUCUAUACCCAAAGUUCCUAUUCACCCUUCAUUAACCCCUAAAAUAUACAUUUCUUAUACCUGUAAAGUAAUCAAUACUUUCUAAUAUGAUGAUAGGAAUUAGUAUAUUUCAAGCCAGAUUCCAACAGGUAGAAAAGGGAAUGUUUCUCUGACUCAACUUCAUAAUUGCAUUGAUGUCAGUGGAUUCAUGUUUGUAAUUUGCCCUGUUUGACAGUCACACUUCAGACAGGGCAGACGGAGCAUCUCCAGAAGAGGUUUGAGUGGCUUUACCUCAGUGUGAAACAGAGGAAACACUACCUCUACCGUUUGAUAAUGAAUUAAGCACUAACAGCUGUGUGUGUUUCAAUCGAUUACAUAGUAUGAAUGUAUUAUUGAUGUAAUAAAGUGUUGGUGCAGCAUGUUGUAAGUCAUUGCUACCCCUUGCAUCAUUGUAAGUACAACAUCUUUCUAAUCUGAUAUUGAGUGGAAGGUACUGUUGCCCAACCCAUAUAAACUCAGCAAAAAAAAGAAACAUCCC